AAACCAACAGGGAUUGCCUUAGUAACUGCGAGUGAAGCGGCAAGAGCUCAAAUUUGAAAUCUGGCACCUUCGGUGUCCGAGUUGUAAUUUGUAGAAGCAUCUUUUGGAUUGGUCCUUGCAUAUGUUCCUUGGAACAGGACAUCAUAGAGGGUGAGAAUCCCGUUCAUGGUGGGGAAUCCAAUUCUUUGUAAAGUGCUUUCGAAGAGUCGAGUUGUUUGGGAAUGCAGCUCUAAGUGGGUGGUAAAUUCCAUCUAAAGCUAAAUAUUGGCGAGAGACCGAUAGCGAACAAGUACAGUGAUGGAAAGAUGAAAAGAACUCCGAAAGGAGAGUGAAAAAGGACGUGAAAUUGUUGAAAGGGAAGUGCUUGAGAUCAGUCUUAAGGUUUAGUGAUCAGUCUUCCUUUUGGUUGGUGCACUCACUAUUUCUUAGGCCAACAUCAGUUUUCGCGGCAGGAUAAUGACAUUGGAAUGUGGCUCUUUCGGGAGUGUUAUAGCCUUUGUUGAUACUGCCUGCUUAGACUGAGGACCGCGCUUUUGCUAGGAUGUUGGCAUAAUGAUCUUAAGCA
rnacentral:rRNA from 1 species